GACGAACGCUGGCGGCGUGCUUAACACAUGCAAGUCGAACGGAAAGGCCCUGCUUUUGUGGGGUGCUCGAGUGGCGAACGGGUGAGUAACACGUGAGUAACCUGCCCUUGACUUUGGGAUAACUUCAGGAAACUGGGGCUAAUACCGGAUAGGAGCUCCUGCUGCAUGGUGGGGGUUGGAAAGUUUCGGCAGUUGGGGAUGGACUCACGGCUUAUCAGCUUGUUGGUGGGGUAGUGGCUUACCAAGGCUUUGACGGGUAGCCGGCCUGAGAGGGUGACCGGCCACAUUGGGACUGAGAUACGGCCCAGACUCCUACGGGAGGCAGCAGUGGGGAAUAUUGCACAAUGGGCGGAAGCCUGAUGCAGCAACGCCGCGUGCGGGAUGACGGCCUUCGGGUUGUAAACCGCUUUCGCCUGUGACGAAGCGUGAGUGACGGUAAUGGGUAAAGAAGCACCGGCUAACUACGUG
rnacentral:rRNA from 1 species